UACGAAGGGGGCUAGCGUUGCUCGGAAUCACUGGGCGUAAAGCGCACGUAGGCGGAUCCUUAAGUCAGGGGUGAAAUCCUGGAGCUCAACUCCAGAACUGCCUUUGAUACUGAAGAUCUUGAGUUCGGGAGAGGUGAGUGGAACUGCGAGUGUAGAGGUGAAAUUCGUAGAUAUUCGCAAGAACACCAGUGGCGAAGGCGGCUCACUGGCCCGAUACUGACGCUGAGGCACGAAAGCGUGGGGAGCAAACAGGG
rnacentral:rRNA from 1 species